AGAGCGAACGCUGGCGGCAGGCUUAACACAUGCAAGUCGAGCGGGCGUAGCAAUACGUCAGCGGCAGACGGGUGAGUAACGCGUGGGAACGUACCUUUUGGUUCGGAACAACACAGGGAAACUUGUGCUAAUACCGGAUAAGCCCUUACGGGGAAAGAUUUAUCGCCGAAAGAUCGGCCCGCGUCUGAUUAGCUAGUUGGUGAGGUAACGGCUCACCAAGGCGACGAUCAGUAGCUGGUCUGAGAGGAUGAUCAGCCACAUUGGGACUGAGACACGGCCCAAACUCCUACGUGAGGCAGCAGUGGGGAAUAUUGGACAAUGGGCGCAAGCCUGAUCCAGCCAUGCCGCGUGAGUGAUGAAGGCCCUAGGGUUGUAAAGCUCUUUUGUGCGGGAAGAUAAUGACGGUACCGCAAGAAUAAGCCCCGGCUAACUUCGCGCCAGCAGCCGC
rnacentral:rRNA from 1 species